GCUCGGACUCAGAUGAUGAUCCUCUGGGUCUUCUUCAGGAUCCAAGUGAUCCUGACUACCGUCCAAACUACUCAGACGAUGAAGAGGCCCCAGGAACUGGCGCAGCACCUGAUGAAAGUGAAGCAGCCGCCGACAAGUACAUCGUGUUUGGGUCUUGCCUCAAGAAGCUCCUGAAGCGGUGCUCGGAUUGCUUCUCCAUGAACACCC